rnacentral:rRNA from 1 species
UAACACAUGCAAGUCGCGGGCGAGCACGGAGCAAUACCUGGUGGCGACCGGCGCACGGGUGCGUAACGCGUAUGCAACCUGCCCCCAGCAGGGGAAUAGCCCGCGAAAGCGGAUUAAUGCCCAUAGGCCCAGGGCGCCGCAUGGCGCUAUGGGUAAAGCGUCCGGCGGAUGGGGAUGGGCAUGCGUGCCAUUAGCUAGUUGGGGCGGUAACGGCGCACCAAGGCGACGAUGGCUAGGGGGUCUGAGAGGAUGGUCCCCCACACUGGUACUGAGACACGGACCAGACUCCUACGGGAGGCAGCAGUGAGGAAUAUUGGUCAAUGGGCGGAAGCCUGAACCAGCCAUGCCGCGUGCAGGAUGACGGCCCUACGGGUUGUAAACUGCUUUUCCCCGGGAAGAAUAAGCCCCUCGUGAGGGGUGAUGCCGGUACCGGGGGAAUAAGGAUCGGCUAACUCCGUGCCAGCCGCAGC